GAUGAAGAACGUAGCGAAAUGCGAUAAGUAAUGUGAAUUGCAGAAUUCAGUGAAUCAUCGAGUUUUUGAACGCAUAUUGCGCCCUCUGGUAUUCCGGGGGGCAUGCCUGUUCGAGCGUCAUUAAAUAACCCUCAAGCAUAGCUUGGUGUUGGGCUUUUUUACGUCCUUGACUGGGAUGGGCCUAAAAAUUAGUGGCGAUGGCUUUUUUACUUUCAAGCGUAGUAAAUCUCGUCUUGCUAAAGAGGAAAAAGAUUUUUUUUCUGCCAAAAAUUUCAACAUUUAAAGUUGACCUCGGAUCAGGUAGGAUUACCCGCUGAACUUAAGCAUAUCAAUAAGCGGAGGA
rnacentral:misc_RNA from 1 species